rnacentral:lncRNA from 1 species
CUAUAAUCAAUGUUUCCCUCGGUUUUAGUUUGUUACACAGAUUUGUUUUAGCGUAAUCGACUUAUUACUAUCGAACAGCGGUAUACUACUGUUGCCUUCAUUUAGAUCAUACUUUAUUAUUGUCAAUUGCAUUUAAGUAUUCAUACGAUGUCACAUAUUAACGUCACCAUUAACAACAAUGGUGCGAUACUGUCGCUGUCUAUGUAAAUAUCGCAAUUGUCUCCCUUGAAUUCAUGUCCUUUACGUCAUAUGGAAGAUGGAUUUCCCACUGCAUUAGUGUACAUACGAUGUCACAUAUUGCCGUCAUAAUUAACAACCAGUUAAUUUCAAAUAGUUUUCCAAGCUGGCUAUUAUUGACAUAUCCGUUGGGUAAAGGGUUGGGGUGUUCCAGGGGUUGGAAACUUUCAUCUUUCGUUUUUUUUUUAAAACUAUGUGAACAUUUCAUAGUGUUUCAGGGGUUGGAACCCCGCGGCGCCACAUUUCAAAAUGACUGGAUCCGCGCCUGGACAGGUUUUAGCCUGGAUGUUAUUCAUUGAAGAAUAUAUUCAUCCCUUUUGAUGAGUUUUAAAACCCUUAUUAUGAAAUACAUAGUAAAUUCUAAAAAAAAUUUGAUGUGUGUUUGUUUAUUCCAUAUUGGGUAGAGGUAUACGUGGGAGGGUUGACAUUUCACAAAGAAAUGUUUGAACCCACGACAUGUUUGCGCCUGUCCCUAGUUAAAACCUCUACCCUUUGUAAAUGUGUUGUGUUCUUUAAGUUUUGGUAUAUUUGAAUGUUUCUGAGUUUAAUAUAGCGUCCAUUUUUCUGAACUAGUAUACCUAAUUGUUAAGGUCCUACUGCGCCUGCUUCCGAGUACGGGAUUGUUUCACUACGAUGAAUGCCCGUUAUUGCACUUCAGUUGUUUUCUGCUCUUUGGUUUGGUAGUUGUUUCUUUGCCACAUUUCAUGUUUUCAUUCUCUAUUUCAUUUGACUAAUUCAUCUUAAAUGUUUAAA